rnacentral:lncRNA from 1 species
AAUUUUUUAGGCGAUUCGGUCCCCUUUUCACGAUUUCCGAGUCCGGUUCGACUCGGCAUUUUUUAAAACACUGGUUUAGAGAGAGGAAGAAGGAAGAGAGAGAGAAGAAGGUUACAUUUUAGAGAUAAAAGAAGGAAGAAAGAAGAUAAAGAAAUAAGGUUGGGCUCAUAGCCUGGGUUUCUAGAGAGAAGAAGGAAGAAAGAAUAGGUUAUGGGCCUUACAAACCCUAAUAGAAGAGGCCCUAACUGAGAAUUAGAAAGAGAAGAGGAAGUUAAGAUGCUGAUUUAGAAUAGUUUAAAGAGGGCUUUUCUCUCUGAUUCUCUGACAAACCCUAAUACAAGAGGCCCUAACUGAUGAGAUGCUGAUUUGGAAUAGUUUAAAGAGGGUUUUUCUCUUUGAUUCUCUGACAAACUCUAAUAUAAGAGGCCCUAACUGAUUUUUAGAAAGAGAAAAGGAAGAUGAGAUGCUGAUUUGGAAUAGUUUAAAGAGGCUUUUCUCUCUGAUUUGAGAUCUUGUUUGAGAAAAAGUCGUAACCACAUUGAUUUGUCAAGAGGCCUUAACUGAUUUUUAGAGAGAGAAAAAGAAGUGGGUUUUCCAAUUUUUUGAGGAAACAACAAGCAGACCUCAAGGAUUAGGUUUGGAUAACUAAUCAU